AUUUUUGGGGGUGUUUCAUUGCUGAUGGGCUUGGAUCCACUUUGGGGUUUAUAUUGCCUUUUCCUUGGGUUUUGUUGUCUCCGGGAACUCUAUUUUCCUUGGUAUGUUAGCAGAAUUAUUCCUCUGUUUGUAGGUCAGGCCCGUGAGAGGCCACGACCAGGCCGCGACGAAACACCCCUUUCAGGUCCAUGUGUGGGGCGAAGGUGCGUGGCCCGCGAGGGUUCCCUCGAUUUGUAAUCGCACCCGCGAUAGUUGAUCUUCGCGCCACGAUGUGUCUGUCUAUAUAUACCUCCAAAAGCUGAAAAUAUUAUUUUCUUGUGCUCAUCUUCUCCAUUUCUAUCUACAAUCGCCAUUUUCGUAACUUUUGAGCUUUACCCUUGGUUUUCAUCUAGUUAUACCUAUCUCCUUCCCCUAGUGUUUUGGGCUUUAAUGUAGAGCAAGUUGGGGACUACGUUUUAAUCUAAAAAUUUCAAGUUUCGGCAUUGUUGGUUUUCGAGUGUUCUUCAGCUGCUCCUUAAGCUUUGAGUAUGUUUGAAGGCACCAAAGAAAGGUUUUCUCAAAGUUUUUCGUAAAGGCUCUAUUUGGCUAUGGAUAAAGAGUGGUAUUGUUGGAGGUUGGAAAAGAGUGGUUUGACAUGGAAAAUCUCUAAUUUGUUUUAUUGAAAUCAAUGAGUUGCUUUGUUGGAAAAGAUUUAUUUUGUUGGAAAAUUGUUGAGUUGUGGAGCAUGCUAGACUCACAAUGGAACAGUGGAAAAUAUGACAUUUUGUUGAUAUGUUGAGAAUGAUGAGUUAUGCUACUGUUAUCUAUAUUGUCCAUUUUGGAAUAUAUUGAAUAAAGAUAACUACUUUGGCUAUCA